rnacentral:rRNA from 1 species
CAGUAGCCGCGGGAAUACAGAGGGUGCGAGCGUUAAUCGGAUUUACUGGGCGUAAAGCGUGCGUAGGCGGCUUUUUAAGUCGGAUGUGAAAUCCCUGAGCUUAACUUAGGAAUUGCAUUCGAUACUGGGAAGCUAGAGUAUGGGAGAGGAUGGUAGAAUUCCAGGUGUAGCGGUGAAAUGCGUAGAGAUCUGGAGGAAUACCGAUGGCGAAGGCAGCCAUCUGGCCUAAUACUGACGCUGAGGUACGAAAACAUGGGGAGCAAACAGGAUUAGAUACCCCCGUAGUCCCUGUCUCUUAUAC